rnacentral:rRNA from 1 species
UACAGAGGGGGCAAGCGUUGCUCGGAAUCACUGGGCGUAAAGGGCGCGUAGGCGGGAUGGCAAGUCGGUCGUGAAAUCCUUCGGCUCAACCGAAGAACGUCGGCCGAUACUGCCGUUCUUGAGGGAUGCAGAGGAGAUUGGAAUUCCCGGUGUAGCGGUGAAAUGUGUAGAGAUCGGGAGGAACACCGGUGGCGAAGGCGGGUCUCUGGGCCGUAACUGACGCUGGAGGAGCGAAAGCAUGGGGAGCGAACAGG